rnacentral:rRNA from 1 species
AACGCGAAGAACCUUACCAGGUCUUGACAUCCCCCUGAAUAGUUUAGAGAUAAGCUAGGCCUUCGGGACAGGGGAGACAGGUGGUGCAUGGUUGUCGUCAGCUCGUGUCGUGAGAUGUUGGGUUAAGUCCCGCAACGAGCGCAACCCUUGAUGUUAGUUGCCAGCGAGUAAGGUCGGGCACUCUAACGUGACUGCCGGUGACAAACCGGAGGAAGGUGGGGAUGACGUCAAAUCAUCAUGCCCCUUAUGACCUGGGCUACACACGUACUACAAUGGCCGGUACAACGGGAAGCGAAAGAGCGAUCUGGAGCGAAUCCUUAGAAGCCGGUCUCAGUUCGGAUUGCAGGCUGCAACUCGCCUGCAUGAAGUCGGAAUUGCUAGUAAUCGCGGAUCAGCAUGCCGCGGUGAAUACGUUCCCGGGCCUUGUA